CAGAACCAUGAAACUGGUAUUGGUUGGUAGUACUGGUGCCAGUUUCACUUCAUAGAACGAUUCCGGCCAUUCGUACUUCCUGUCCUAAGACCAAGACAACAGUGCCUCAGGAGUAGCUAACAUUCCCACAGCCCUUGCUUAAAAUCCCUCCUUGUUUGUAAAGUGAAGUUAGCCACUCUCAGGAAGUUACUUCAGCCCAAAUCACCGACCUCCAGACAUGCAGUAAGUUUUUCGGUUUUCUCAUUUUUUUUUAUUUCUUUUUAUAAACAAAAAUCAUUGUUCAGGCAUGCAAUCUAUUACCCAUUUUUGCUCUAAAGACCAGCUUCUGAGGACUGAAGACCUGUACCUCAGGAACCUCUCAGCCACCAGCCACGCUAUAAAAAUAACUUUAAAAAGGAACGAACAAUAGGUCUGCAGCAGAAGCCAUGAGCUACAGCAAAAACAGAUCCUGACCCCUGAGUCCAAAGAAUUAACCUAACGAGCAUCACGUACCUCACACCAUGACCACACCGCUCACAAGUGACGGCAAGUUCAAUUUUGGUAACUGUGCUGGCUCAAAACACACAGAAAGAAAGAGAAAACCCUUUCCCCCACAAGUGGGAGGCCGAGGAGGACCACGCAUAGCACCGAGAGGCAGGGAAGGUUGCUUUUGUCUUCAGCAGCAUUGAUUUCAUAACCCACAGUCCAGGGAAUCAAAAAAUUGAAAUACACCCACCAACAAUGGGUGAGAAACCAGGAGGCCUCCAAGAAGACUGCAGGGAGAAGCUUUCUCGCUCUGUUUUGUGUGCAGUAGCUUAGGGGGAAAAUGUCGCGCGGGCAGGAAUGACACAUGCAGCAGGAGAGGCUAGCGGGCCUAAGAGAUCUGCUUUACCUCCACAGCCAGCCCCUAAUGCACGCAGCUCCACUCAUCCUCUCCUAGGCUUUUUUUUUUUUCCACUUUUUUUUUUCACGAGCUCCAAAUCCCCGGCAUAUGACCUUCUGUUAAAUAGAUAAAAAAAAAAUUGCUUAUCAGUCAUGCAAAUGAGGCUGAAUUCAUUUUCCACAACAGAUGGCCUCAUAGAUAAUGAUGAUGGAAGAGAGAAAAUUGAAUGUCUCUCACAAGGUGGCCAUGGCAACCGAGAGCAGAAUAAUAUCAAUAAUAAGCUCACUGCAUAAUAAGGUUGUCAGUCCUACAAAUCAAAGUCUGCAGCUAAAUCAGGUAUACCACCCCAGCUAGUUACCAGUAGCAGAUACGGUUUCAUGAAGGACCGGCUAACUAGCCAUAUUGAACUGUGGAGUGAGCCUGUGGGUGAGCUCCCCUCCCGCUAGCCUCCUCCUCACUCUCCCCUCUGUGUGCCCUGCUGCAUCCUGCCUAGAUGCAAGAGCAGCUCACCCGCCGCCGGAGGCUUCCACCUUGGCUCCCAGGGGGACAUCCUGCAAAAUGAAUCAGCAGCCAUCCUGAGCAGGCUGAUUAAAAUGAAAAUGGCAAGGCACAUGUCUGGGCGGAACUGGAGCUCGGCUUUGUUGCCUGUCUGACAAGCACGCUCAAUAUAGCUCUUGCUAAUAAUGGCUUACUGCCUUUCGGUUUUUAAAAAGGUAUCACCCUUUCCUCUUAACCGACUGCUACUCGCGUGUGUGUGUGUGUGUGUGCACGCGCGCGCGCGCGAGCGCGCGUGUGCUUCACAUGUGUGUGCCACGGGGGUUGUGGGGGGACGGAUUGCUCGAUUCUAAUUUUCCACUGCUCACAUGCAGACAGCCCGCCUGACAACGCUGUUAUUUUAAAACUGAACUUAGUUGUCUUUCUUCUGAGGAAAGUGAUGGUUAAGUCUUGGAUGUGAUGUGGAGGUUGACAAAAACAGGGAUUUCUAGCCCAAGCCUUAGCCACAGAGCUGGGGGGAGGGGGUCAUCUAAUGCUUGCCUCUUUGGCUCACAGCCCAAAGCUAGAAGCAGCCCAGGUGAAGCCUGCUCCUGCUUGAAGCUUUUCUACCAGACUGUCUCCAUUCUCCGGAUCUCAUGCAGCAUACAGUCUGAACAUGGGAAAAUAGAAGCCACUGAAUGCUGCAGUUGGACAAAGUUUAUUGCAAAUAAAUCUCAUUUCUUUUCAAAAAUU